UGUUCCUGGAAACCACUGGCAUAUACAAGUGUGUUGGAAACACCAGGCUUUUGUUUCCUCCUCUGGUUCAAAGGAAUCGUCCCUGCGCUCUCCCAGAGAAUACUGGUGAGAACAGACAGCCGUAAUGGAAACCAAAUCUCCAAAGAGUCCAGGCAACCAAUUUAAAUUUUAUUAUGAAAAUGAAGUCUAUAAACAAGAUUACUUUAUCAAGUCACCACCUCCUCCACUUUUCUUCUCCUCAGCCUCUUGGAAAAGGCGGUUUUUUAUCCUGUCAAAGAAUGGGGAAAAGAGACUUAGUCUUUCUUAUUACAAAGACUAUCAUCACCGAGGUUCCAUUGAAAUUGAUAGAAAUUCCAUUGUUGAAGUUGGUGUAAGGAUCCCUGAGAAGAUGCAAUCUGUGCAGAAGAUGUUUAAAUGCCAACCUGAUCAGGUGAUGUCCAUUAGAACCACAAAUCGGGAUUAUUUCCUCAUUUCUGAAGACAGAGGGUUUCCUGGUGCUAGAAGGUGCUCAGUGGAUUCCUCACACAUGUGUAUCUGCUCGGGAGAGGCGCUGGUCGGGAGGGGAGCUGAAGCCCAAGAGUGGAGGACUUUGAUGUAUUUCAGACCCACCCAAAGACACAAAGCUCACUUCAAAGUUGUCAUGGAGAAGAUUAAAGAAUGGGUCUCCUUCUUGUCAUCGUUUUGCCGGGGUGUAAUAGCAGCUCAUCAGAAUACUGAGGAUGUUCCAGGCUUACAGCAAAAGCAAAGCCAAGGAGGAGGAGAAAAGAAGGAGAGAUGCUGUUUGGCUGAUAAAAGGCCCACUUCCUACCCCAGCCUUUUCUCUGGUCCUUCAAGAACAUUGAACACUGUCAGCCCCACCUCAUCAAUGAUCAGUCUUCCAGACAUGCAUUUAAUGGAAAAAAGUCUUCCAGGAUUCGGGCAAGCUCAUCUUCCACAUGUUUUCUUAUCAGAGGUCACUGAAGAUACUGAAGAAGAGGUCCAUUACCUUACUCCUCGAAGUGUUCUUUCAGAGUUGGAUAAUGUUAUUGAUGCCAGUGACCCUGGGGAAUCCACUGAAGCUGCUUGUCCGGAUGGGGUCUCCAAGGAAACUGAACAUGUUUAUAUGUCAAUGAAAUCCUUUUUUUUCAACGAGACACCCCAUGUAUCUGCUGAUUGCCAAGAGGAAUCCCAGCCUCUUCCAGAGAUCCGGAAUGAAGGGCCUCACCUGCAAGAUCAAAACUCAGGAAGCGAUUCAUGCCUUUCACCUGCCAAUACAGAAGCACAGACUACAAAUGAUGAAACGGGGUCGGCCUCACUAACUGUUGUGAAAUUGUCUAUUUUACUCAAUAACAUCCCUGAUGAAAGCCAUGUGGAGACUCUGAACGUGUUCCUUUCUCCUCCUGAUGUCAUAAACUAUCUUGCUCUCACAGAAGCCGCAGGGCGGAUAUGUGUGUCUCAGUGGGGAGGACCUCCACAUCUGGGGUGCUUAUUUUCCCACGGAGAUCAUGUUUUGGCCGUGAAUGGGAUGAAGCCCCAGAACCUGGAAGAGAUGUCUCUGUUUCUCACCCGGUCUAUACAGAAGGAGGUUCCCGUGUCUCCAGGACGGGCCUCAGAGGGAGUGUGUAGGCACUGGCUGUGUUCUCUGCUGAGGAUGCAGACUAUGCAGCGUGCAGCCUGAAAAGCAGCGGGUAAGAGCAAAGACCCAGCGUACGCAUAUUGGCACCAUGCCCAGCAGGAGAUGAGUUAAUGGACCAGCUAACACGGAAAUGAUGAAAAAUGUCUCUAUGGACCCUUUUGGGAUAAACAGAAGAAAACACUUACUGACAUUCAGCUGUUGAAAUACAAAGAAAGGAGUUGGGAAAACAGGCUAACCAGCGACCAUGGAGUAUGAAUCCUGACAGUGUUCCUUACUCCCCUCCUUGCAGUGAAAGGUGCUAUCCUGGGAGAAUAACCUUGGGAAACAAAAGAGAAUCGACUUUAAAAUGCUAUUCCUUUUUCUCGAACAUCUUCAUCCUCUGUGUUCUCAGUAGGAGCUAGACAUCUCUAUUGCCUUCUUAGAGAAAACCAACUGGAACCCAACAGGAAUCACCAAAGAAGUUCUCAAGUUUUGCUGGUCUGAUCAUGCAUUGCAACACUAAAUUGAAUCAAGAAGCUGCAGUUCUGAACCGUAAGUCAGUGUUUAGCAAUUGAUGUAAUACACAGGAUUUACCAAUUAUUUGUAUCAACACACUCAAAAUGAAUAAUUUGCAUUUGUGGAUUUGUUCUCCUCUCGUGUGUACACUAUGUGCUGGGAAUACUAAAGAGCGAAUGUGCUAUCUUUGCUCAGUCUUUCACUUACUGAUGGGCCACUUCACUGCUACUGGCUCAUGCAUCAUUCUGCAGUCAGUACAAGCGUAUUACAGUUAAUACCACUGUGAGGAAUGGAUUCCUCCAUUGCUCUGCCUCCAGGGUCCCAAACCUAAGCAGGAAGAAGUCCUAUUUUUAUACAAGAAAAUUUAGAUAAAUAUUGAGUAAUAAAAUAAAUUGAUUCAAAACAUGUUCUCACCUGACAUAUUUUAAUAGUCUAUACUAUGAUAUAUCCAUUGUGAUAAUCAGCUUAUAGAAUAUGAUCAUGUCCAAGAUCUUGUAGAGCAUGAAAAACCCUGUUAAAAAAAAAAAAUAGUAACUGAGCUAAAAUCUCAUAGAACUAUAGAGGCAGGUCCUAGAGAUUAGUUUUCUCAUUCUAGCUAAACCUAAUGGUAGUUGACCUUGGAAUCUCCAACCUCCAGAACUGUGAGAAAUAAAUUAUUAUUUAUAAAUGACUCAGGCAUUUUGUUACAGCAGCACAGAUAGACUAAGACAUGUUCUCAGCCUAUUUGGCUAAUUUCAUCUUGUUUAAUUGGAGCUGGAAAUUUUUUCUUCCUUUGACUAGUGAUCUUUCCAACCAAGAGAGCUUCACUAGCCAAACAGCCAUGUUGAGGAGUUGGGGUGCUUUACCCAUUCAUGGUAAUUCUUUUUUUUU